AAAACAUCGAAUCUCAAUUGGUCUUUUCCUGUAGUCGUCAUCUGCAUUGAUCCAGCCCCCUUUCUGGUGUUUGGACAAUAUAUAAACGGACAGAAUUUCAUCUCUCGCUGAGCUACCUAGUAACAUCCUAAUAACCAUUACGUGGACCUCAGAUGGGGAGGGUUUACAGCUGAGAUUGACGUGUGUUUCAAUGGCAGCCGGAAAGAGAGAAAGCGGGGCGACAAGACGAGCACACAGCCCAAUAGAAACGGUACUAAGGAGUCACCUGUUGAUCCGUAGGCUUUAUGAUGGUAAGUCAGACGUCCUCUAUUUCACUUUCACAUGUUAGACAGGUAAACAUUUUUUUAACUUGUUGUAAAGACGUUGCCAUUGUAGAGAGAAUUGUAGAGGCAAUAUAUUGUGUUGUUUACACAAUUAUGGUUGAAGAGAUCCAGGACGUGCCCGAAAGAAGAAAACGGGAGAGAGCUUUCUCCGCCUGUGAUCUGCCAGCCUCUCUACAAACCAUGGUUGCCAACAUUUACUGUCAUCCUUUCUUCCCCCAACCUUCCCUUCCCACCCCCCAACCUUCCCUUCUCUUCCCUUACUAAAUUGUCACCACCACCCCACCCUCCUCUCCCAGUUGCUCCCAGUCCUGUUGCAUAGCUACCUGCUCUGCCCAUGAAACACACUGGAGAUGGAAGACAAUGAUUAUAGCUGUGAGCAUGCACACUAUCCAGAUGAUAAAAUCAAGCCAAAAGCAAAUAAAAAUGGGAUUUAUCUCCUUGUGGAAGUUCAGUCUUUGACUGUCGUCUGUUUUCCUUAGUGGUGACAGUACUGUGUAGAUAAUGUAACACAAUAUGAACACUAUGAUAAUGUAGAACCGUUUUCACAACUAUCUACAGUAUGUAGCUCAGGCAAACCCCAUUAUUAAGGCCAUCUCUAUUUCUUUAAUAUUGGAAUUUGAUGAGAAAAGAAGGCACUCCAUGCAGUAGCAGUGCUUUAGCAAAUAGGGUUUAUUACGAGUGCUAUGUUCCCCUCCCCCAUCUCCCCUCAUACUGCUGUCCUCCUCCUCUUCCCCCAUCUUCUCCUCUGCCUCUUUGAGAAGGGCUGAAAGGUUGGCAUUAGAACAAAGGCAGAACGGAAUGUCAACAGGCUUCAUACAGAAACAGGUAGACAGAGAGAGAGACAGAGAGCGCGAGAGAGAAAACACAGGGAUGAGAAAAGGACAGUGCAAAAUAAACCUCUCACCUCUACACCCCUUGUCACUUUUCAUAUCUUCCACUAGAGUUCCAACUACAGCUCCCAAUAAGUAUGAGUAGUAGAGUGUGGUAUUUACAUGUUGAGUGCAUACUGUAUAAAUGUGGAUGUGCAGAGCGGGAAUAAAAAUGUUAGGUGGGUGCAUAUGUGGAAUGGGAUUUUUUCCCUCAUAAUUU
rnacentral:lncRNA from 1 species